rnacentral:rRNA from 2 species
UGGGGAAUAUUGCACAAUGGGCGAAAGCCUGAUGCAGCGACGCCGCGUGAGGGAUGACGGCCUUCGGGUUGUAAACCUCUUUCAGCAGGGAAGAAGCGAAAGUGACGGUACCUGCAGAAGAAGCACCGGCUAACUACGUGCCAGCAGCCGCGGUAAUACGUAGGGUGCGAGCGUUGUCCGGAAUUAUUGGGCGUAAAGAGCUUGUAGGCGGUUUGUCGCGUCUGCUGUGAAAAUCCGGGGCUCAACCCCGGACUUGCAGUGGGUACGGGCAGACUAGAGUGUGGUAGGGGAGACUGGAAUUCCUGGUGUAGCGGUGAAAUGCGCAGAUAUCAGGAGGAACACCGAUGGCGAAGGCAGGUCUCUGGGCCACUACUGACGCUGAGAAGCGAAAGCAUGGGGAGCGAACAGG